AAUGAAUAAUACCUCACAUAUUAUAUCAUCUUAUUGACUAGAUGACAUGUGAAAUGAUUAAUGUGAGAAAAAUAUUGAAACAAAGGAAAACAUUGCUGAAAACUGAGUGGAUUUUUUAAAAUUGGCUACAACUUUUAAUAUUCAAGAAAAAAAUGGUUUGAAGGUCUGGGUAGAAAAUGGAUGGGAUGUUUUUAUGUAGAAAAUCAAACAUUGUUAUUGAUAAAAAAUUUACAUUUAAAAAUAAUGAAUACAAAAUUUUAGCUUAAAUAACAAAAAUGUAUAAACGUGCAUUUCAAAAAUAUGUGAUAAUUUCGAAAAUCUUGACUUCUAGAACGUAUAAUCUUUCCCAGUAAAUAAAGAGUUUAAAGUAAACAAGAUUUUAAGUGAUACUUGCAAUUGUAGGGUAUCAACUUCCCUGAAUGAAUCAAAUUCCCCAACAACCACCCAUUACAAGGAAACACGACAUGAAUGUUUAGACGAAGACUGAGAAAUUGAGCACGAGUUACAAACUUGAACUCAAUUAGGAAAAGAGUGUAAAUUAGAAUAGUCAUGACCUGCCACUUUGCAGUUAUUCCUGCAGAAAUCUCUGCUCGGUAGAGAGUCCUUAUAGAAUGCCAAAACCGCUGCGAUUUAGUCGAAACUGGACAAAGAGAGUCAUACCGUAAAGACAAGACUUCUGUUGCAGAAAAGACGGAUCAUUACACCAAGUCAAGUGAAGAAUAGAUAGCUAACAGCAUUAAUAACAUUCGCAUGUAAGAUUAAAGCUUUACCUGAAGUUA